GCCCUCUUAGCUUAGUGGUAAAGCGGCAGUUUUGUAAACUGUUGACGUCAGUUCGAUUCUGACAGAGGGCUCAA
rnacentral:tRNA from 1 species